GAGGGUAUAGCUCAGUGGUAGAGAGUGUUUGCUUAGCAUGCGCGAUGUUCUGGGUGCAAUCCCCAGCACCUCCA
rnacentral:tRNA from 1 species